rnacentral:rRNA from 1 species
GACGAACGCUGGCGGCGUGCUUAACACAUGCAAGUCGAACGAUGAAGAAGAGCUUGCUCUUCGGAUUAGUGGCGAACGGGUGAGUAACACGUGACUAACCUGCCCCUUUCUCUGGGAUAACGCUCCGAAUGGAGUGCUAAUACCGGAUACUCACAUCGAGGCACAUGCCUUGAUGUGGAAAGUUUUUCGGAAAGGGAUGGAGUCGCGGCCUAUCAGCUUGUUGGUGAGGUAACGGCUCACCAAGGCGACGACGGGUAGCCGGCUUGGGAGGGCGACCGGCCACACUGGGACUGAGACACGGCCCAGACUCCUACGGGAGGCAGCAGUGGGGAAUAUUGCACAAUGGGCGAAAGCCUGAUGCAGCGACGCCGCGUGAGGGAUGAAGGUCUUCGGAUUGUAAACCUCUUUCAGUAGGGACGAAGCGAAAGUGACGGUACCUAAAGAAGAAGCACCGGCUAACUACGUGCCAGCCGCCGCCGUAA